rnacentral:rRNA from 1 species
AGUGAACGCUGGCGGUAGGCCUAACACAUGCAAGUCGAACGGCAGCACAGUAAGAGCUUGCUCUUACGGGUGGCGAGUGGCGGACGGGUGAGGAAUACAUCGGAAUCUACUUUUUCGUGGGGGAUAACGUAGGGAAACUUACGCUAAUACCGCAUACGACCUACGGGUGAAAGCAGGGGAUCUUCGGGCCUCGCGCGAUUGAUUGAGCCGAUGUCGGAUUAGCUAGUUGGCGGGGUAAAGGCCCACCAAGGCGACGAUCCGUAGCUGGUCUGAGAGGAUGAUCGGCCACACUGGAACUGAGACACGGUCCAGACUCCUACGGGAGGCAGCAGUAGGGAAUCUUGGACAAUGGGCGCAAGCCUGAUCCAGCCAUACCGCGUGAGUGAAGAAGGCCUUCGGGUUGUAAAGCCCUUUUGUUGGGAAAGAAAAGCAGCAGGUUAAUACCCCGCUGUUCUGACGGUACCCAAAGAAUAAGCACCGGCUAACUUCGUG